rnacentral:rRNA from 1 species
GACGAACGCUGGCGGCGUGCCUAACACAUGCAAGUCGAGCGGGGAUUUAAGUGGAAGUUCUUCGGAAUGGAGAUUUAAAUUCUAGCGGCGGACGGGUGAGUAACGCGUGAACAAUCUGUCCCGGACAGGGGGAUAACACUUGGAAACAGGUGCUAAUACCGCAUAAGACCACGGCCUCGCAUGGGGCUGAGGUAAAAGGAGCAAUCCGGUUCGGGGUGAGUUCGCGUCCGAUUAGCUAGUUGGUGAGGUAACGGCCCACCAAGGCGACGAUCGGUAGCCGGCCUGAGAGGGUGAACGGCCACAUUGGAACUGAGAGACGGUCCAAACUCCUACGGGAGGCAGCAGUGGGGAAUAUUGGGCAAUGGGCGAAAGCCUGACCCAGCAACGCCGCGUGAGGGAAGAAGGUUUUCGGAGUGUAAACCUCUGUCCUAUGGGACGAAGGAAGUGACGGUACCAGAGGAGGAAGCCCCGGCUAACUACGUG